AAUUAAAAAAUAGAGAGAAAAAAAUGUAAAAGUACAUUAUAGAAAAUCCACAGUGUUUACACGCACAGGAAUACUCCAUUAUGUGGGCCUAAGUGUUGUAUAAGUGAAUAAUAAUUAUGUAGCAACAUUUUUUUUUACAUUUUAUUUGAUACAAAAAGUAAAAAAUCUUAAUUUAGCUGUUUACAGAUCACCCCGUCUGUACUGACACCUGUAGAUUAUCAAUGACUAUUCCUGCCCUUCAAUAUCCAGUAGGUGGCAAAAAUUGCUGUCCUCUUGAGUAAUUGAACCAUUCAGUCAUUGAACCGAUUCUUUUCAAAAAGCUGAUUCAUCUUGAAGAGACACGCGACUAUUUUAAACGAGUCAUUGAAUCAUUCAAUUAACUGGUUUGUCGAGGCGCUUCGUUAAUGUCGAGGAGAGCUGCGGCUGUGUUUGGAAGUUUCUUCGCAAUAAUCACCGCAAAGAAUAUACCACAGAACAAGGAAUCACUAUGGAGUUGAUGAGCUGUAAGGAUGCAAGACUAAGCCUCUAAUCAGAUGUUCCCUCCGCAGUCACUAAGCAAACAUGUCAAAGGCUAAGAGGAAGCACUUAUCCUCAGAUGAUAGGCUAUCUACAGGACAUCCAGCAGCUGGGAACACACAGUUGGAAAAUCCUUGUUUUAUCUCCUGAAACAGGACCCCAAAUGUUGAUCACGAGCCCACUGAUGUCCCCGUACAUCAGCACAAGCAAAGGAAAAAUAAUACUAAAUACUCACACUCAGGAAAGAUCA